rnacentral:lncRNA from 1 species
CCAUUGGCUUCCAGUCUGGUCCCAAACAGUUUCGGAGAGAACCCCGUCUCCCGGGGACAACAGAAUUCCAGCAUUAACAUUUCCAUCUGCAGAACAAGGCUUCUCCCUUCGGUGAAAUGCCUUUGCGGUCUCAUGAUAACCACACCCGUGGAGGCCGAGAGCUCUUGGAGGACCAGCUGCAGCCUUGAGAUGCAGGUUGGUCCACGAGGGGGAAGAAGCCUGAAUACUGUCUCCACUGGCCUCUGAAAACAAGGUCCCUUCAACUGCAGGGAAUGCUGGUGGGAGCACUUGCUGCCACAAAUCACCAGCCUCCGGGGCUCAGAGCCAGGCUGCCGGGUUCAACCCACACUCCCUCUUCCCCAGGCCUCAGUGUCAUCUGUAGAAUGGGGUCGUCAUAGGAUCCAGCUCAGGGGUCACUGUGGAGGGCCGAGAAGAUGACGUGUGCGAAGGCCCUGCCUCACAGGGAUGCUCAGUGAGGAGAAGCUGCAUCCGCUCUUUCCGCAGACCUGGGAGGGCUCUCGACUCGUUUGGGGCUGCGUGUUAAAACCCUGGUGCAUGGGGUCAUGUUGUUUCUACUCUGAUUUGUUGUGUGUCUGCGUUUUCAGGACCUCUCUGGGCCAUGUGCGGGGAGUUGAGGGACCUUGUUCUCCCACUGACAACACUUUGAGCUUCCAAGUUGUCAUACUGAGGAUUCACCGUCUCCAGGCGGGGGUUGGGGCUGACCCUUCCACUGUCCCCAUCACUGGUGAUGUCACAGCAGAGGAGUCUGCGGAGACCGAGUUCUGGAGGAGGGAGGGGUCUGGGGGGCAGUGUGUGUCCCUGUGGUGUUGGGCAUGUCAAACAGCCGCCCCUUUCCUCUGUUUGGCAGAUGCCAGCACUUCACACUCAUGUGGACGCAUCGUGGGCCUUCUACAUAUGCUGAGACAGCUGUGGGUCUGUGCCCAACACCCACAGGGCUCCAGAAAAUGCUGAGCAGGAAGAAGGGCUGCGUGGGGAGGCAGGAGGGCAGAGGGGCCUGAGAGCUGGGCAGGCAGCCAGAGCCCUGAAGACUCGUCAGGAGCUGGGACGGAAUGCACGCCCCACCUCCCGCGGUCAAGGUGAAGGGUAAAGGAGACAGCGUUCGCUCAGGCAGCGCCAGACACACAGCAGGUGCUUCAGCAUUACUGUCACAAACCCAGGCAAAGCCCAGGGCUGAGGCGAGUAACAUCACUUCCAACGGGCACGGAGGCGAUCCAUCCCCAGCAGC